rnacentral:rRNA from 1 species
UACGUAGGGGGCAAGCGUUGUCCGGAAUUAUUGGGCGUAAAGCGCGUGUAGGCGGCUCGGUAAGUCUGCUGUGAAAGCCCCGGGCUCAACCUGGGAACUGCAAUGGAAACUGGCGGGCUUGAGUGUGGCAGAGGGGGGUGGAAUUCCGCGUGUAGCAGUGAAAUGCGUAGAGAUGCGGAGGAACACCGAUGGCGAAGGCAGCCCCCUGGGCCAACACUGACGCUCAGGCACGAAAGCGUGGGGAGCAAACAGG